UGACUGAAUAUAAACAGAAGAGUUAGAAAGAAACAUGUAUACCCGCCCGAAUCAUGCUGCACCGUCCUCGCUUACCACUCGUAGGGCGCUAUAGGCAGUGAGCGU